UCAAUUCCAGUUUGAUUUUUCUGUGUCCUGAAACAAAGGCGUUCUGCUCUCUUCAGCAAUAGGAGUCUUAUCAUCCAGUUCAGGUGGAACGAGAGCCAAAUGAGCUGGAACUUCCACGUGGAAAGCUGGGCGUUCUCCCCAACUUUGAAGCAAAUCUAUUUUCCAAGAGCUUGUCUGGCCAGCAACUAUCACUGGAUCUCACCGGAUCUCCUUGGCUCCCCAGUCCUUGUGACCUCUGUUGAAAUAAUUCAGAUGAGACACACAAGGUAAAUAUAGUAACAUAAUAAACAACGUCUUCCUGGUGCCCAUGUCCCCUAUCCCUGGAGGAAUGAGGCCAGCAGUGAAUAACAGCUAACCCAACUGUCUGGAGAGGUACCACUUGCAUGAGAACCUGCAUGUGCACAGGACUGGAUGUCUCAACCAUAUAGCAACAGUUGUUUGAAAAAAGCUUUGAUCACUAGCAACCAAGGAGGCCAAUCUAAUCAAAAGAGCAUUUACUAUGUGUCUAAGUUGUAAAGAGGCUGACAGGAAGAUUUGAAUAAA